GAGGAAUUAACCAAAAUUGUACGUCUGUGUUAUCCUUGCCCUUUAUUUCAGCACUCACACUAUAAUUUUUAUAAGGUAACUAGUUCAGUUUUUAUAAGGUGACUUCCUUGUCACUGUUUUACUGAUAGCCAGUCUAGCGCGACCUAUCUAGCAUAACGUUAAAGUAAUGAGGAAACUCAUCCAGCAUUUAAAUACUUGAAUAGCAUUAACGUCAUAUCAUUUUAAUGAACAGAUACGCAGAUUAGAAGUUAUUAUAACGUUAAUUUUGACAUUAGCGGUAUAGCGUUAAAAUUGCGCCAUUUUACAGCUAACGAUUUUCCUGGGAAAUCCAAGAACUUAAUAUUAUAGACCGAUUGAACGGAUAUUAUGAAAGGAAAAAAUAUUUUUUCGCUCUGAAUGUUGUAAAAAAAAAAAAAAAAAGUUGUAUUCAUGACUAAAGCUUGAGUAUAUUGCAUUUCUUUGCCGAAAGAAAUGAAUCGCCUCAUGCGAGUGACGUGUAACGUUUCCCGCUCAGAGUUUAGGCUUAACGUUACUGGCUCAGCUCCGGGCGCUCAAUGCCAUUAUGAACGCUGAUUUUAUAUGUUUUAUGUUUUAAAUUUGCGAAGGCAGGAAAUGAAUGUGAGGAAAAUUAAUUUACACUUUGAAACUGUAAAACUAAAACGGAUUAAUGUUUGGAUUUUAAUUUUAGGAAAGCUGCUGCUUGGUAGGCCUAGUUCCUGGUGCCAGUUCUGGUUGUCCAGACUUCGCUGACACUGAAAGAUGACAAUUUAAUAUUUGACUGGGAAGAAUUGCAAAUGUUGUGGGAGAGGUGGCCAGCACUUUUUAAAAUGGAAGAGAUCAGUGCUGAGUUCAUGAGAAUCACAACGGAAAAAUGGUGGCGUGACAAAGGAAAAGAAUGGCAGGAUUUUACAUCGUUUAGAUGAGGAUAUGCCAGGUGAUGGACUGGAGCAAACAAUGGCCGUCUUAAUCUGUGAGACAGACAGACACCAGGGUUCUCAUUGAGUCCACAGAGGUCCUCAGUAACGUGCCCUCAACCGCAGCUGCUGUAGCAAUGCUGUUUGGACUAACAUAUGUGGUAUACCUCGAGUAUCCAAAAGAACUGAAAUUCAAAGUUUUUUCUGAAAGUUUUAAUGGAACUUGGCGCAAGAAAAAUGACCCCCAAAAUAUGUCGCCUCUCCACUCUGCUGCAUAGUCAAUGACUGACUGACAGCCUCCAUUUCAGUGCUUUGAUGAACACAGGAUGGCAGAAAUUCUUUCACCCCAGUCUCCACUACAUCGUAUUAGUAGUUCAGUAGUUGUUUGUUGUUUACUGGAUGUGGCAAUAUCUCUGUUUUGUAUUUGAUUUACAUUUAUUUCUCUGAAUUAUAUUUGUAUUUGUAAAACAAUGUUUGUUUUGCCAAAAAAGUCUAAUCUUAAAAACAGUGAUUUAAUAAAUCUUUUAAAAUAAUGUUUGAUCUGACUCAUUUAAAAUAUAUAUAUUUUGAGAGAAUUUAAAUUUUUUAGAUUGUCAAUUGUGAAGCAUUUUAUAUUACUUGCAAUGAAUACAUAUUUCAGAUUGAAGAAAAUUAAAUUUAGAUCAAGUCUCUUAAAAACCUUUUUUUUAAUUUAAGCCAAUUUAAAAUAUUGAUUUACACCAAAUUCAUAAAAGAGUUUGCAGGAAAUCAAGUCUGUUAAAAAACGUGUUUUUUUAAUUUAAGCCAAUUUAAAAUAUUGAUUUACACCAAAUUCAGAAAAGAGUUUGCAUGAAAUGCAGAAAAUUAGUUUGAACUGAAUGGUUUCUGAACAUUAGGUCAAUGUAAAAUCUUUAUUGUGAAUGGUUACUUCAAUUUUAUUAAGUUAAUCCAAUGUUUCACUUUUUA